rnacentral:rRNA from 1 species
UACGUAGGGGGCAAGCGUUGUCCGGAAUCAUUGGGCGUAAAGAGCGUGUAGGCGGCUCGAUAAGUCCGCUGUGAAAGUCCAGGGCUCAACCCUGGAAGGCCGGUGGAAACUGUCGGGCUAGAGUCCGGAAGAGGGUAGUGGAAUUCCCAGUGUAGCGGUGAAAUGCGUAGAUAUUGGGAGGAACACCGGUGGCGAAGGCGGCUAGC